CUUUUAAGAUCCCGUUGCAGUUCUAGUUCUUAUACUCAAUAAUACACAUGACAUCUAGUAAUAUUUAACUCCAAAACACUAACCAAGCUUCUUCUUUGUUCUUAAAGCAUUGAUGGUGAAGCCAAAGUCCGUAUGAGUCUUUGGUUUUGUAUCUUCUAACUAGGAAACACUACUUAGGCUUUCAAGAUCGG
rnacentral:sRNA from 1 species